AUACUGUAUAAUCCCCGCGGGGGAAAGAUUUAUCGCUAUUAGAUGAGCCUACGUUAGAUUAGCUAGUUGGUAAGGUAAUGGCUUACCAAGGCUAUGAUCUAUAGCUGGUCUGAGAGGACGAUCAGCCACACUGGAACUGAGAUACGGUCCAGACUCCUACGGGAGGCAGCAGUGGGGAAUAUUGGACAAUGGGCGAAAGCCUGAUCCAGCUAUGCCGCGUGAGUGAAGAAGGCCUUCGGGUUGUAAAACUCUUUCAAUAGGGAAGAUAAUGACGGUACCUAUAGAAGAAGUCCCGGCAAACUCUGUGCCAGCAGCCGCGGUAAUACGGAGGGGGCAAGCGUUGUUCGGAAUUAUUGGGCGUAAAGGGCACGUAGGUGGACUAGUAAGUUAAAAGUGAAAUACCAAAGCUUAACUUUGGAGCGGCUUUUAAUACUGCUAGACUAGAGGUCGAAAGAGGAUAGCGGAAUUCCUAGUGUAGAGGUGAAAUUCGUAGAUAUUAGGAGGAACACCAGUUGCGAAGGCGGCUAUCUGGUUCGAUACUGACACUGAGGUGCGAAAGCGUGGGGAGCAAACAGGAUUAGAUACCCUGGUAGUCCACGCUGUAAACGAUGAGUGCUAAAUGUGAGGAUUUUAUCUUUGUAUUGUAGCUAACGCGUUAAGCACUCCGCCUGGGGACUACGGUCGCAAGACUAAAACUCAAAGGAAUUGACGGGGACCCGCACAAGCGGUGGAGCAUGUGGUUUAAUUCGAUGCUACGCGAAAAACCUUACCACUUUUUGACAUGAAGGUCGUAUCCCUCCUAACAGGGGGAGUCAGUUCGGCUGGACCUUACACAGGUGCUGCAUGGUUGUCGUCAGCUCGUGUCGUGAGAUGUUGGGUUAAGUCCCGCAACGAGCGCAACCCUCAUUCUUAGUUACCAACAGGUAAUGCUGGGCACUCUAAGGAAACUGCCAGUGAUAAACUGGAGGAAGGUGGGGAUGAUGUCAAAUCAGCACGGCCCUUAUAAGGUGGGCUACACACGUGCUACAAUGGCAACUACAAUAGGUUGCGAGACCGCAAGGUUUAGCUAAUCCAUAAAAGUUGUCUCAGUUCGGAUUGUUCUCUGCAACUCGAGAGCAUGAAGUCGGAAUCGCUAGUAAUCGUGGAUCAUCACGCCACGGUGAAUACGUUCUCGGGUCUUGUACACACUGCCCGUCACGCCAUGGGAAUUGGCUUAACUCGAAGCUGGUGUGCUAACCGCAAGGAAGCA
rnacentral:rRNA from 1 species